rnacentral:rRNA from 1 species
GACGAACGCUGGCGGCGUGCUUAACACAUGCAAGUCGAACGGAAAGGCCCUGCUUUUGUGGGGUGCUCGAGUGGCGAACGGGUGAGUAACACGUGAGUAACCUGCCCUUUACUUUGGGAUAACUUCAUGAAACUGGGGCUAAUACCGGAUAGGAGCUCCUGCUUCAUGGUGGGGGUUGGAAAGUUUCGGCGGUUGGGGAUGGACUCGCGGCUUAUCAGCUUGUUGGUGGGGUAGUGGCUUACCAAGGCUUUGACGGGUAGCCGGCCUGAGAGGGUGACCGGCCACAUUGGGACUGAGAUACGGCCCAGACUCCUACGGGAGGCAGCAGUGGGGAAUAUUGCACAAUGGGCGGAAGCCUGAUGCAGCAACGCCGCGUGCGGGAUGACGGCCUUCGGGUUGUAAACCGCUUUCGCCUGUGACGAAGCGUGAGUGACGGUAAUGGGUAAAGAAGCACCGGCUAACUACGUG